rnacentral:tRNA from 1 species
GCCUCUGUAGCUCAGUGGCAGAACACUGGGCUUGUAAGCCAGGUGUCGUGACUUCAAUUCUCACAGGAGGCA